ACAUUUUUUCAAAAAUGAAGUGUAGAGUAGUCUUCAUCUGGUUGGUCUGGGGUCCAUUGACGUCAUCUUUGCUAUGCAGAAUGAUGGCCGUUGCCGCGACAUCAGCCGUUGGUGCCAGAAGCUGUUCAUGUGACCUCCACAUGCACCCUACCGGAAACUUCCAAGCAGUACACCCCCACACCCUAUCUUCACUGCAACAAAGCACCACUAUUCAAGCACAAACCAAGCCACUAGCGCAACCACAUCACUUCCCAGCCAUUCACAACCAAACGGCAAAACCACAUCCCAUCAAAUGGUGGUGGCGAUCCUGGAAGGACAUCAGAUAAAAGGACAGAGGAGUGGACAGGGAUUCAGUUGGACUGCAAUCUCCCCGGUGCACCGACAGAAAGAGGUGGGCAGAAACCUGUUUGUUUAUAUCACGAAUUCUGCACAAUGGAAAUUGUGAAAUUUGGGAGAUUUGUGGUACAAUUGUUUCAUUGUCAAUAGUUACUAAGACGUUGUGUUAUUGUUGUUGUGUUAAUUGGAAGUCAGGGUAACAGAGGACCUGACUGCCCAGGGUAACAGAGGACCUGGUAAAAGUAGGGUAACGAGGUACCUACUAGUCCAGUCGUAGACUGACUUGAAAUCGGACGCGGUUUCAUACUGUAACGUUUCGGUAGACGUUGGGGAUUUUGGGACCCCCAAAAACAGAUUUAGAAUAAGAAGAGUGUGCCACCAAAACCCUGGGGUGUGAACUGGACAGUCGAGUGUAGAGGUAAUGAAUGUGAUAUGUAUCAGAGUGAUUACCAGAAGUCAAUGGAGGAUUUGUGGAUUGAAAUAGAAGGUCAGUUGUUGGCUGGCAUUGAAAGAAAGAAGCAGAAAAAGAAACAAGCAGAAUUACAGACCUUCCCAAAGCGGCCCCCCAGUAACUUUCGUUUAUCCGGCUUCGCCGGUCGAGGGAGCCGCUCAAAUGACAGACCAAAACACCGGGGAAGUAAAACUCCCAUCGACACCCCCGGCCUACGCUACUUUUAACCCAUCUGACAAACGACAACCCACGUACCCACUGCAGGCGCCCAUAUACCAAAUAGUGGGCGAAGUGAAACUGGUUGGUACGUCAGGAACACACGACUUGACCCAACAGCAGCGAACCACUAAGAAAGAAAUAGUGACUACUAACCGACAAGGUACAGUAGACUACAACAGUUCUAAUUGGCACAUUUUGAGACAACAGGAACCUUCCUCGAGAAGAGACGAGCCCGGAGACAGUGGAGCGGGCAACACCGGCACUCGGUGGUCUCUGCCCAAACGCCCGACAGACAGGUUUGGCCAACUACGUUGCAGGAAGAGUUCACGUCUAGUAUUAAUAAAAGAAGUUCCCGCUUGAGGGAACCGCAACAUAGUGAUGAGUCUGACUCUAAAUUUGACGAUGAUCGAGAGGGAAAUCAGGAAGAGACGGACGGGGAGCUAACCCCACCGCCCCCUCUGACAGACAAAAACUUGACAGCAACCCACCGAUGACGGCGACAAGCUAAGCAAAUGACUUCUGGUGAAGCCCGAAAACGGAUGGCGAAGGCUUACCAGCCCCCAUCCCGGGACAGAGUCAAGACGAGGUCCCAGACUGGAACCAGAAUUAAGAGUCCGACUAGAUAUACCCCGACUCCCAGUAAUUAUUCUAUGAUCUCCAGUCAACAAGGUGGGUUGAUAUACCAAGAAUUCUCUUUAAAAGAUCUUGAGUUUUUACAGAAACGGCUCCCUGGACUGGCUGUUGGCGGUGAAAUGUGGAUCCAGACAGUGAAAAAGUUGACGGAUGGCAUGAGCCUGGCAUUUGGUGACGUUGUGAGAUUGAUUCGCGCCUGUUUCAUUUCGGUUCAUCAAUUGGAAAAUAUUUUGACAUGGUCUGGUCUGAAUAAUGUCGAACCUGAAAUUUUAUUUGCCCCUUUUGCUCCUCCAGUGUUUGCAGUCAUCCGUGACAUGUUCCCGUCCUCCUCGCCGGCAGUUCCGAAGCUCCCGGACUUCAAACCUCCCAUGGAUCCCAGUUCACAUUUUGAAAAUUGCAUAAGUAUUUGGACAGAUAAGACAGGGUCACAGCCCCUCCCAUGUUAGGGAGGCAAAUGUUAUUUAUAGAAUUGCUUUGCUUGACAUAUUGCCAGCUGAAAUUAGGACUGAAUGUAUAAAAGACCCUGACCUCAUGGAAGGGGGAGACAGCUAAGGGGGAGACUUUAAUCGUCAUGUGUCUCACCAUUUGAAACUUUUUGUCGACAGCCACCACAAAUCAUCAGACGAGGUAAAGGACAUGUAGGAACAACUUUUGAAGUUACAAUUGGCCCAGGCCUGAAAAGUGGCCACUGACAACAAACAAGAAGGAAAAAAGAAAAAAAAUGGAAGCAAAAAAACAGAUCGCCAACCUCCACCGGACCAAGCAUGCUUCAACUGCGGUCAGUAUGGACACUGGUACCGUCAAUGUACUGCUCCCCCACAGAUGCAACAGCGACCUCCAGUGGGACCCGGAGGGGCCCCACCUCAAAGAGGAGGCUACGGAGCUCCACGCGGCAGAGGUGGACGCGACCCGCCACCCUGGCAACAGCAACCGCAACAGGCUCCACAGCAACAACAGCCAUCUAGCCAGUUCUACUGCGACAAGGACUGGUCCGAUUACCAAUAGGGAUGCCCGGAGCCCGGGGAGGAGGUAAGGCAGAUCCUCUUAUCACAGCAAAAGUGGAGAAGACGGACAUCCACAUGCUAGUGGACACAGGUGCCACAUAUUCGUCUGUAUGUCUACCACUUCCCGCAUCCAAACACUCAGGGAAGACGACCACCUUAAUGGGCUUUGCAGGGGUGCCCAUGAGUCUGCCGAUUUCGACACCAUUAAAGACUGAAAUUGCUGGACAGACACAUGAACAUCAGUUUGUCCUGAUGAAAGGGGGAUCUCCAGUGAACCUGAUGGGGCAGAAAUCUGCUUAUCAAAACCAGGGCUACCAUCCUUUGCAGCCUGGACAGACUGACGAUACGGUUCCCAGAUGGGACCGUGAUGAACUCUGGACGGAAAUUGUCCAUGGUGCAACAUGAACUCCCGGUAGCGACCGCUGACAUUUAUUGGGCCCGACUUCAACCAGAAACAAAGGCGGGAGGCGGCGUCUACUUGGACUUCCUGCGGUGGAAACCCUGGAUCGACUCUCUUGCCUCCGACAGCCCUCCGAUUGAGCCCCUCCAUCUCACACUGUACUAUGACAAAAAUGACGAUUUGGUUUACAGAGAAGCCUUUGAGUCAAUACAGGGUGAAAACUGGACGCUCAACAGUAAAGGUAUUUACAUAGGGAAGCAAGGUGUGGCGGCUGCCUCCACCUUGACGCGAGACCAGAGUGAGUGGUUUAUGAGGAGUUCGACAUCUUUUCCACACAUUUCACUUGCACUAGGUCAUGAAGCCCGAGAACUGGGACCCAUGGACCCCAGGAGACCCAAAUUCUGACUUCCAAACACUUUGGUCCACAAAUGACUUUGUGAAACCUUCCGCUCAAGCUGCAGAACUGCUGGCCAUGUGCAGGGCACUGGAGGUCUGAAGGAAAGUUCAUGCGGUCAGUGGUUGAGGAAGCACACGCCGCGACACAUGAGUUAUGUGUCGAUGCUGAACAAGCUGCGCUUUUUGUGGCACCCUGAUCUUCUGCGUAAGGUAAUAUAAUUUUGUGUUUCUUGUGAUAUGUCAGAAUUUAAGUGUUGGCCCUACAACGAAGAGGGAACUGCAACACACUGAGAUGGGCUGAUGCCCAAAUGAUGUGGUGGUAAUGGACUACACCGACAUGGUAGUCCCAGUCCAAGGAAAAAGGUACUUAUUAAUGAUUGUCGACACUUUUUCUGGAUGGACCGAAGCUUAUUCUUGUGCAAAACAGGACGCGCCGUCGGUCAUUAAAGCGCUGGUUAACCAUUAUAUCACGACACAUGGGUUUCCAUGAGUAAUCAGGUCAGACAAUGGUACCCAUUUUACGGCUAAUUCCUUGGCCACGGUGGAAUGCAUGCUGGGGCUCAAACACAAAUUUUGCCCAGUCUACCAUCCUCAGUCCUAUGCCCAUGGGGAAAGGAUGAACAGCACAGUCAAACAACGGCUGGCGAAAACGUGUGCACACAGGGCUUAAUUGGCUCCAUGCCCUGCCCCUUGCUUUGUUCUCCAUCAUGCAAGCGAUUAACCGGCGGACAGGGUUCGCCCCAUUUGAACUCCGGACCGGCCGCCCUAUGCCUGGUCCAGCCUCUGCUUCGCUCCAGCCGGACAUGGAACCGCCGAAGGGCUAUAAGCCCUACUGGGAGCAACUGUCAUCUCUUGUGUUCUCGCUUUGUGUUUCAGAUCACUGUUCCAGACGUCCAUGUCAGUGACCCUUCCCUUCCGACUCAAAUUUAUUUGAAAGGAUAUUGUGUUUUGGUGUUAAAUUGAUCAUUUAACAUAGGGGGGAAAUAUGUACAUCCUCUAUGUCUGGCCGAAGAAGGUCAUAAUCAUGACUCUGAUGAUCUCCCUGAUUAUAGUUACAGGAAUCCAUUUCGGAAUGCCCUCAAACCAAGAAGAAUGAGUGGGAAAGAAAGCCAGGAAAGGUUUGAAACCCAUGUCUGUUAAACUUAAAUCAAUGUCUGGAGUGGAUGACAACCCAUUCCAUAACCUGGAUGUUUGGUAAAUGGAAAGGUCUCAUGCUGACUUUGGAAACUACCAUCCUGGUUGUCAUUGCUGUGCAUGCUUUGUGUGGAUGUUGUAUCAUUCCUUGUCUCAGGAGUCUCAUCCUCCGGAUUGUCCACAAGGCCUUUGAGUGGAAGGACCCUCACGGCCAAUAUCAGCUGCUGCCCCUGAAAGAGGACGUGGAGACCAUAAGCGCGCUCGCUCUGUUGGACAUCGGCUCUGUAUCCUCUCCUUAAGUUUUUUUAUAUUUGCUACAUUUAGUUUGGGCUACAUUAAGUAUUAGAGCGAACUUGGCUGCAUAAUUAGAGGGUGUUUAUCUCUGAUUAGCAGAGAUCAAAAGGGGGAUUGAUGGGAUGUGGUUUUGUCAUUUGGUUGGAAUGGCUGGGAAGUGAUGUGGUCGUGCUAGUGGCUUGGUUUGUACUUGAACAGUGGUGCUUUGUUGCAGUGAAGAUAAGGUGUGGGGGUGUGCUGCUUGGAAGUUCCCGGUAGGGUGCAUGUGGAAGUCACAGGAAACAUCUGUCGGAGAUAACCGUUGCUACAAACCAAAUGAGGAAGUAAGAAGUGUUGAGACGGCGUCUGGCACCAACGGCUGAUGUCGCGGCAACGGCCAUCAUUCUGCAUAGCAACGAUGACCUCAAUGGACCCUGGACCAAUCAGACGAAGACAACUCCACACUUCCUUUUUGAAAAAUUGUAUAAAGACUGGGUCCAGAAACAGAUAGUGUUGAUCGGUCUACACCAUCUCUGCUAAGGCUAAGAUAGGCGUAGCUGCUGACCCAGAGCUCUGAAGUAUGUAUCGACUCCUCUGUCGGGAAUAAAUUGGUUGGCUUUUAA